UGGGGCGAUCAAUGCACAAAACAGCUUUACCAAAUCAAAGAAAAAUAUUAUAUAGAAACUAGAAAUUUUUCUUCAAUGAAUGUAUUUUAGCACAAUAUGAAGCUUAAAUAGGCGGGCUAAUCGCUGUAUAUACUAUACUAGAUGUACUGUCCGCCGCAAAACAAUCGCAAACUGUCGAAAUAUAUCAGCAAACUGUGCUGAAGUUGGCAUGACCUUCGUGCACUCAAUGUGUUAUUAAUAUGCUGCAAAUACCAAUGUCUGCAAACGAUUCAGACUCCGUGGUUUUACAGAAGGAAAAAGAAUGGCGUGAAGCUUCUCAACUCAGAGUUCAGGCACUGGAAGAAACUAUAGCUGAAAAAGAUAGGGAGUUCAGACACUAGGAAAAGUUGAGAUUUCGUAAGUUGAAGGAUGAUUUUGAGUAUAACUUCAAACCUAUAUUAGAACGAGAUCAAGAGUUAGAGAAAUAUGAUACGGUGAUUGGUAAAGUUAAGGAAGAUGAGCACGUUAAGACUGCUCAAGUUAGUGAAUUGUGUGUGAAGAUUGAUGAAUUCAACAUCAAAUUACAAAAUGAACAGAAGUCCAAAGAGGAGCUACAGAAACACUACCAAAAGAGAUUGCAAGAAUAUCAGAAUCAAUUUAAAGCUUUUCAAGAAGAGAAAGAUAAUGUAGUUGCUAAAGAACGGGAGGAGCUUUCGUCUUAUCGGAAAAAUCUGGAGCUACAAUUAAGAGCAACAGAAAAUGAUUUUGAGUUUCGUCAUCCAGAAAAUGUCAGUAAUUUUGAUGAAGCAAUAAGAAAAAGAGAACAAGAAUAUCGAUCAAAACUGGAUGAAACAAGAAGUCUCUUAUUGUCAAAUGACCUUAAGAUCUGAAGUUUAACAAAAGAACUGGAGUUAAUGCGAUGUGAUAGUCGUCGAUGUAAAGAGGAACUCGACAAGAGAGAACUGAGAACUCGGGAGCUGAAGAAGAUGCUUGAAGAAAAAGAUUGUAUGCUUUCUGAUUUGGAAAACACUCAUAAGUAUAAGUAAGGUCACAGAUCUCGAAGCACAACUGGAAAAUAUGAGGAGAAUGGGAGACAACUUAC
rnacentral:lncRNA from 1 species